UGGACCAUGAGUCCAAAUGUAAUGUUGAUUCAUCAAUUUAAAGUGUGAAAGACACAACGAGAAUAAUGACAUCGAUGUUGAAGAUUAGCAAAUCUUUAGGAGUCAUUUUACGCAAUUUUGCUGUAAUAUGCUUUCGGAAAUAACCCUACCUCAAUUAGGUCUUUUGAGGGUUGUAACGUGGCUUGGUUCAUGGUUAUUGAAACAAAAGGAUAUAAGGCUCAAAUUUUAUUUUAACCUGCCCCUUCUUCAUGAUGA
rnacentral:lncRNA from 1 species